rnacentral:pre_miRNA from 1 species
UCACCUCCGCAGGCUGGCCGGCCCCAGGCUGGGCUGGGCAUCUCUUCCAAAGGCUCACCCUCAAGCAGGACUAGGAGC